AGCGAACGCUGGCGGCAGGCCUAACACAUGCAAGUCGAACGAACUCUUCGGAGUUAGUGGCGGACGGGUGAGUAACACGUGGGAACGUGCCUUUUGGUUCGGAAUAACUCAGGGAAACUUGUGCUAAUACCGAAUGUGCCCUUCGGGGGAAAGAUUUAUCGCCAUUAGAGCGGCCCGCGUCUGAUUAGCUAGUUGGUGAGGUAACGGCUCACCAAGGCGACGAUCAGGAGCUGGUCUGAGAGGAUGACCAGCCACACUGGGACUGAGACACGGCCCAGACUCCUACGGGAGGGAGCAGUGGGGAAUCUUGCGCAAGGGGCGAAAGCCUGACGCAGCCACGCCGCGUGAAUGAUGAAGGUCUUAGGAUUGUAAAAUUCUUUCAGCGGGGACGAUAAUGACGGUACCCGGAGAAGAAGCCCCGGCUAACUUCGUG
rnacentral:rRNA from 1 species